rnacentral:rRNA from 1 species
ACGGGAGGCAGCAGUGGGGGAUAUUGGACAAUGGGGGCAACCCUGAUCCAGCGACGCCGCGUGAGUGAAGAAGUAUUUCGGUAUGUAAAGCUCUAUCAGCAGGGAAGAAAAAAUCAAAAUUGACUGUACCUGACUAAGAAGCCCCGGCUAACUACGUGCCAGCAGCCGCGGUAAUACGUAGGGAGCAAGCGUUAUCCGGAAUUACUGGGUGUAAAGGGAGUGUAGGCGGGACUGUAAGUCAGAUGUGAAAUAUACCGGCUCAACUGGUAGACUGCAUUUGAAACUGCGGUUCUUGAGUGAAGUAGAGGUAAGCGGAAUUCCUAGUGUAGCGGUGAAAUGCGUAGAUAUUAGGAGGUACAUCAGUGGCGAAGGCGGCUUACUGGGCUUUAACUGACGCUGAGGCUCGAAAGCGUGGGGAGCAAACAGGAUUAGAUACCCUGGUA